rnacentral:rRNA from 1 species
UGGCGAACGGGUGAGUAACACGUGAGUAACCUGCCCUUAACUCUGGGAUAAGCCUGGGAAACUGGGUCUAAUACCGGAUAGGAGCGUCCACCGCAUGGUGGGUGUUGGAAAGAUUUAUCGGUUUUGGAUGGACUCGCGGCCUAUCAGCUUGUUGGUGAGGUAAUGGCUCACCAAGGCGACGACGGGUAGCCGGCCUGAGAGGGUGACCGGCCACACUGGGACUGAGACACGGCCCAGACUCCUACGGGAGGCAGCAGUGGGGAAUAUUGCACAAUGGGCGCAAGCCUGAUGCAGCGACGCCGCGUGAGGGAUGACGGCCUUCGGGUUGUAAACCUCUUUCAGUAGGGAAGAAGCGAAAGUGACGGUACCUGCAGAAGAAGCACCGGCUAACUACGUGCCAGCAGCCGCGGUAAUACGUAGGGUGCGAGCGUUAUCCGGAAUUAUUGGGCGUAAAGAGCUCGUAGGCGGUUUGUCGCGUCUGUCGUGAAAGUCCGGGGCUUAACCCCGGAUCUGCGGUGGGUACGGGCAGACUAGAGUGCAGUAGGGGAGACUGGAAUUCCUGGUGUAGCGGUGGAAUGCGCAGAUAUCAGGAGGAACACCGANGGCGAAGGCAGGUCUCUGGGCUGUAACUGACGCUGAGGAGCGAAAGCAUGGGGGAGCGAACAGGAUUAAGAUACCCUGGUAGUCCCAUGCCGUAAAACGUUGGGCACUAGGUGUGGGGA